AGUCAGCGAGCUGUUGAGGGAGCGAACAACGUAUGCAGCUGGGAUCUCGCCAGCUUCAGCAUCUGGAAACCUAUAAGCAAAAGCGAUUCUACUGCAAGAUGCCACUUACGGGAUGACAACUGCAUCGACUAUUUCAGGAUGAGAAAUGAGCAGACUUUCAAGCUCUGCUGGUGCAACCUGGUAACAGUAUUAGUACAAGUUACUCUAUUUCUCUAAGAAUUAUUGAAGCUGAUUGAUGUACAUAUAUAGCAAACUAUGUGGUAAGAAAGUUCUGUUAAAAUGCCGAGUUCUACAUAAAAUGAUUAUUGGAAUUCCUGACUAA